CACUUACCUCCACAUCUCUUCCUCCCCUGUCCCCUCGAUCCCCUCCGCCUCCACCACCAUUCUUCCCCCCCAGCCAGCUCCCAGCACCCCCAACCCCAGCGCGCUGCUGGCCAUCCCCCCCAUCCCUCACCCCCACGCCCCAGAUAUCCGUCGCCCCGAUGCGCAAUAGGAGCAGUUACUAGCCCGGAUGUGUCGCCGGGAGCCUACCACCCCGGCAUCCCCCUCCGGUGAGCUCGCCACGGGAUCCGGGCCUCCCCCGACCCGCCUCGUGACCUACCUCCCCCGCGCUGGCCCGCACCACCUCCGUCCAGCCGUCGUCCCCCAGCACACGCGCCGCCGCCGCAGACCUUCGGAUCUUGGCCGCCGCCCAGCCCACCGCGCCACACCGGCACCUCCCCGGUCAUCUACUUCCUCGCGGGCCGCAUGGCGGGUCGCUCGAUCUGGCCCGCACCACUUCUGCGUCCCUCCGGUGCCGCCUCUCCCGGAUGGAGGUCUACCUGCGCCGCACCUGGGGACACAGAGGAGGCGGAGGCUCUAAGCCGCUAGCCUUCCCCACCUGCAGCACCUGGGGAGUGAGCAGCACGGCAGCUAGGAGAGCAGCGAGAGCACCACCGCUCCUCACCUCCCUCGCUUGAUUCUUGCAGUUCGGUCGCACACACCCAUGCGGUUUGUCCCUGCUAGCACCCAUGUUGUCUUCCUACUGAUGGCGAGCAGUGCAGAUAAAAUAUCGUUGCAGGUAGUUGUGGUCGUCGAUGUAGUUCGCACGCACAUGAUGGCGUGACGGCGUGCAGUUCCGACGAGUCAACCCACCUCCUCAUGUCCCCCGAAUCGGAUACGACAAGCUCUAUCACCACGCGCCGGCGGCCGGAUCCCCACCUGCGCGCGUGCAGCCGGACUCCUUCCUCCACCGCAAAUCUGACCCCCGUCGCCUCCUUCUCAUUCAGCUCGCUUGCUGGUACAGUGCAUUGGCAACGCCUUCGUGCAGUUGAAGCAACGUGUGCGUGCAGUACGUCCGGCGAGUGCGUGUGGUUCAGCGGCUAAAAGCAUUUGCAUUCUCGCUAUGUUAAUGUGUGUGGUUCAGUGCAUUUUAUAAAAAGUGCAGCAGGGUUAUAUUUUUCUGUGUGAUUGUAGUGUGGAGACAGAAAAAAGGACUAUCUGUGUGGAUUACUCAGUUUGUAAAAUCUUUUCUUUGUGAAAGCAGUGCGCUCAAUGAACCGAAGAAGUACAUAUUUCAAAGUUCAUUAUCAAAAUAUGUAUAAAAUAAAAGAAAUCAGGAAGUUCGUUUGCCC